rnacentral:rRNA from 1 species
UGAAUACGAGACGCUAAGGCGUCGAAGUAGUGUAUGUCAUACUUCCAAGAAAAGCUUGCACUGUCAUAGAUAAAAAACGCCUGUACCAUAACCGACACAGGUGGGUAGGUAGAGUAUACUAAGGGGCGCGAGAUAACUCUCUCUAAGGAACUCGGCAAAAUAACUCCGUAACUUCGGGAGAAGGAGUGCCUUAUUCGUAAGGUUGCAAUAACAAGAUCCAAGCAACUGUUUAUCAAAAACACAGGUCUCCGCUAAGUCGUAAGACGAUGUAUGGGGGCUGACGCCUGCCCAGUGCCAGAAGGUUAAAGAAGUUGGUUAGCAAUUGCGAAGCUGAUAACUGAAGCCCUGGUGAACGGCGGCCGUAACUAUAACGGUCCUAAGGUAGCGAAAUUCCUUGUCGGGUAAGUUCCGACCCGCACGAAAGGCGUAAUGAUUUGGAUACUGUCUCGGAGAGGGGCUCGGUGAAAUAGACUUGUCUGUGAAGAUGCGGACUACCUGCACCAGGACAGAAAGACCCUAUGAAGCUUUACUGUAACUUGAAAUUGAAAUUGGACUUUAUUCGCGCAGUAUAGGUGGGAGGCGUUGAUUAUAAUCUUGUGGGAUUAUUGGAGCCAUCAGUGAGAUACCACUCUUGUAAUGUUAGAUUUCUAACUUUGAAUCAUUAUCUGGUCAAAGAACAGUUUCAGGCGGGCAGUUUGACUGGGGCGGUCGCCUCCUAAACGGUAACGGAGGCGUACAAAGGUUUCCUCUGAACGGUUAGAAAUCGUAUCUAGAGUGUAAAGGCAUAAGGAAGCUUGACUGUGAGACCUACAAGUCGAGCAGGGACGAAAGUCGGUCUUAGUGAUCUGACGGUACUGAGUGGAAAGGCCGUCACUCAACGGAUAAAAGUUACUCUAAGGAUAACAGGCUGAUCUCCCCCAAGAGUUCACAUCGACGGGGAGGUUUGGCACCUCGAUGUCGGCUCAUCGCAUCCUGGGGCGGUAGUACGUCCCAAGGGUUGGGCUGUUCGCCCAUGAAAGCGGUACGCGAGCUGGGUUCAGAACGUCGUGAGACAGUUCGGUCCAUAUCCGGUGUAGGCGUUAGAAUAUUGAGAGGAGCCUUCUUUAGUACGAGAGGACCGAGAAGGACAUACCUCUGGUGUACCAGUUAUCGUGCCAACGGUAAACGCUGGGUAGCUAUGUAUGGAGUGGAUAACCGCUGAAAGCAUCUAAGUGGGAAGCCCACCUCAAGAUAAGUAUUCUCAGC